AUGUUCCCUUUUAGCGUUUCUUUCUGUUGUUGCUGCACUCCCUUUUGGGCGUUCAUUUUUUAUGCCCAAGAUCUUGCAAAUUGUGCCUGUGCCGAGCUUGCUUUAGAGUACGGGCUGCAGAGACGUCGAGGACCUCAAGGUCACCGAUGUUGUGGAGCUGGACGAGGUUUCCGGGCAGUUCAUCGACCGCCUGUUCUUCCUGUAGAAGUUCGGUUGGUGCCGUGGCGGAGGGUUGUCUUGUGGUUUGACCAGAGAGGGAGCACACCAAAGAAGCGAUCUCGUCCCCAUUGGUCAGGUACCCUUCGUCUUUCUCUCGUUCGACCUCUCCAAGAAAGUUAUAUAGGCAGAGUAAGCUAA
rnacentral:rRNA from 1 species